GGCCGUAUCACGUUGAAACACCUGUUCUCGUACGAUCACUGAAGUUAAGCAAUAUCGAGCCUGGUUAGUACCUAGAGUGGUGACAGCUUGGGAAUAUCAGGUGCUGUAAG